rnacentral:rRNA from 1 species
GUGGGGAAUAUUGGACAAUGGGCGCAAGCCUGAUCCAGCAAUGCCGCGUGUGUGAAGAAGGCCUGAGGGUUGUAAAGCACUUUUAAGAUGGAAGAAGAUACCGCAAGGUAUUUGACGUUACAUCUAGAAAAAGCACCGGCUAACUCUGUGCCAGCAGCCGCGGUAAUACAGAGGGUGCAAGCGUUAAUCGGAAUAAUUGGGCGUAAAGGGUGCGUAGGUGGUAAUUUAAGUCUUAUGUGAAAGUCAAUGGCUCAACCAUUGAAUGCCAUAAGAAACUGGGUUACUAGAGUACUGUAGAGGGUAGUGGAAUUUCAGGUGUAGCGGUGAAAUGCGUAGAUAUCAGAAGGAACAUCAGUGGCGAAGGCGACUACCUGGACAGAUACUGACACUGAGGCACGAAAGCGUGGGUAGCGAACAGG